AAGAAACUAAUAUAUUUGACUAAGCUUAUUAUUGACAACAAAAAAUAUGCCAUCGGGGCUCUUAUUCAAAAACAACUGAAAAAACAAUUGGUGGGCCCGCCGGUUAGUGAGACUAAUAUGAUGUAGGCAUGAUCUUGUUUCUGCAUAUUAUUUCUGUUAUUGCUCAUAAUAAUAACCCGACGCCAUCUCCUUGAGCGACAAUUUUCAUGCUCAUAAAUUACAAGCAUAGAUAAUGAUUUUAACACAGAAUCAGAAAUCGCCUUAGCAACUCUCCAAACAGUAACAGAAUCUGAAAUCACAUGGCAACUCGUUUUCCAAACAGAAACUGAGAACACAUCAAAACCACGAACGGCUACUUCAGAAAGGCGAAACAUAAUCCAUGGGUCCAUAUGGCUCAAACAGUUCAGCAAAGAAUCCUCUCUUUCUCUUUGGGUUCCAUCCCAUGUCUUUGCAGAGUUGAUCAUUGUACCAUAUAUGAAGAGUAGCAAUGCAUGAUCUCUUGUAAUAGGGCCCUGAAUAUCGUUUCUUAUAUUGAUCCCAUUUUUCCACAUCUUCUUCCAUCUCUUUUAUGCUAGGCGUCUUGAAUGUACCAUCAAGAAGCUCUGCUAGCCAUCGGCUUCUUAUCUCUGAGGUGUACAAGUUGGAAAGACUUUCUGAAAAUCCGAUCACUGCCAGCUGUGGAAUUUGUGGAUGAAUGCAUUCCCUGUAGAGAGGAAUUGCUGUAGUAGGGGACCCAACUAAGCAUUCUUGAAACAUUGCAGACAUAAAGAUGUCUUUGAGCUUCUUAUCACCUUUAAAACCUGUAGCCAAUAUGACCAGAUCAGUCUCUAGAGUUUGGUCCUCGCCAUCAACAUUAAUGCCUUCUUUGCAGAAGCUGAAACUUGGAGCUUUCUUCAAUAUGAUGCUUCCCUCUUCAACUUUGUCAUAAAAUUUGUCUGGAAUCGUUGAGACUGUACAAGAAUUAAUUUCUUGAAGGAAACUGUGUUUGGGCACCAUUCCAAAUUUAGCCAAUGGAAGCUUAUUCUUGCAAUGGCUUUCCAUAAAUUUUGAAAAAGCCCAUCUCUGUAAAUUUAUUAAAACUCAAUUAGCAGCCUUCUGAAAUCGGAAUUGUUAGAAAUCAUUUUCAGGUGAUACCAGGGGAGGAAAUGAAAAGAAAAAGAAAGGUUACCAAAGGUGUGAGAAUAUUUGCCAAAAGACUGAGUAGGAAACCUUCACCAGGCUUAUGAACGACGAGUUCUGAGAAGCGAUUGAGAUAGAAAUAGGCUAGAGGCACCCCCCAAGGAAGGUAGUCAGGGACAGUCCAAUGUUCAGUUUUGUAUAAAACUCUGCAUGGACGUUCAACCCCAUUUGCUGCACAGCACUCCAUUGCAAUAUCCAGUGCAGAUUUCUGGAACCCCACAACAGUAACUCGCUUCCCAUGUAAGAACUUCCUAGCACUUUGAAAAUCCAUGUUGAAGUAGUCCACUGCAUGUAUCACCUCACCCUGAAAUGCCUCAGGGCCCUUUCUCGGAGGAAAUUCUGGAAUGUUAGGAACAUCGCUGAACCUCCCAAGACAGAGGAUCACAAAAUCCACUUGAUAUACCUCAGUUGCAAGGCUUUGAGUGUCUUUUACUUCUAUUUUCCAUUUUCCUCUGGAGCUGAAGGGCUCGCCAUUGCCACCCCAAAGACUCCAUGAUUGCAUCUCUUCCUGGGAAGGGCCUUCAUAGUGGAUUCCAACAACUUUAGUAUUGAACUUGAUGUGCUUGAGUAAGUCAAAAUGCUGAGCAUAAGACUGAAUAUAAUCUAAGACUUGAUGUUGGUUUGGGAAAUCAUCUGUGACUGAAUCUGGCCAUGGAAAAUCUGAGAACUGAUACAAUGGUUUAGGAGUUUGGAGCUUUGUAUUCUCCACAGUUUUAGUCCAUACUCCUCCUGUGCCGCUUCUUGCUUCAAAAACUAUGGGAUGGAAACCCUUUGAUAAUGUGUAUUUACAAGCAAGAAGUCCACUGAUACCAGCUCCUAUAAUUGCUAUCUGUUUCUCCAUUUCUGUGUUUCAGAAGCUAUUAAAUAUGCCUUCGGAGUUAUAUAAGAAGCAGAUAAGAUUGGUAU
rnacentral:misc_RNA from 1 species